UACAGAGGUCUCAAGCGUUGUUCGGAUUUAUUGGGCGUAAAGAGCGUGUAGGCGGCCAGGUAGGUCUGCUGUGAAAACUCGAGGCUUAACCUCGAGACGUCGGUGGAAACCAUCCAGCUAGAGUCCGGAAGAGGAGAGUGGAAUUCCUGGUGUAGCGGUGAAAUGCGCAGAUAUCAGGAAGAACACCCGUGGCGAAAGCGGCUCUCUGGGACGGUACUGACGCUGAGACGCGAAAGCGUGGGGAGCGAACAGG
rnacentral:rRNA from 1 species